rnacentral:rRNA from 1 species
UACGGGGGGAGCGAACGUUGUUCGGAUUCACUGGGCGUAAAGGGAGUCUAGGCGGCUCAGUAAGUGGGAAGUGAAAUCCUUCGGCUCAACCGAAGACUUGCUUUUCAUACUGCUGGGCUUGAGUCCGGGAGGGGAGACGGGAAUUCCUGGUGUAGCGGUGAAAUGCGCAGAUAUCAGGAGGAACACCGGUGGCGAAGGCGCGUCUCUGGACCGGUACUGACGCUGAGGAGCGAAAGCAUGGGGAGCGAACAGG